rnacentral:rRNA from 1 species
AUCGUAUUUUGUGUCAGAGGAUGGGUGAAACCCAUUUGAGUGAGAGUAGUACUAGGAUGGGUGACCUCCUGGGAAGUCCUCGUGAAAGGGUUU